rnacentral:misc_RNA from 1 species
GCAAACUUGGUCAUUUAGAGGAAGUAAAAGUCGUAACAAGGUUUCCGUAGGUGAACCUGCGGAAGGAUCAUUAAAAUAUUACGAGUUAGCUUUAAAGGUUGAAAAAUCUUUUAAAGUUAAUUUUGUAUUUCAACCACUUUGGUUAUGGGCACCUCUUGCUUCCGUGAAUUUUAUUGGUGUUGUUAACUUUCCAUAGGUUAGUUGGCAGUCGUCAUUAUUCACGGAAGUAUUGCGAAAUAAUUAUGUCCUCCUCAACGUACAACAACGAUGAUGAAGACGAUAUUACGCCUUUCUGACGAAAAUUAUACAAAAUAAAAUUAAAACUUUCAACAACGGAUCUCUAGGUUCUCGCAUCGAUGAAGAACGCAGC